rnacentral:tRNA from 1 species
UCCCUGGUGGCUCAGAGGAUAAAGUAUCUGCCUGCAAUGCAGGAGACCUGGGUGCAAUCCCUGGGUUGGGAA